rnacentral:snRNA from 1 species
UGGUUACGUUGGCAUACAUAG